rnacentral:rRNA from 1 species
GGGGUACGAGAGGGCCGCUACCACGCGAGUGGAUGCCAAUCCCAAAACCUCUCUCAGUUCGGACUGGAGUCUGCAACCCGACUCCACGAAGCUGGAUUCGCUAGUAAUCGCGCAUCAGCCACGGCGCGGUGAAUACGUUCCCGGGCCUUGUACACACCGCCCGUCAAGCCAUGGGAGCCGGGGGUACCUGAAGUGCGUAACCGCGAGGAGCGCCCUAGGGUAAAACUGGUGACUGGGGCUAAGUCGUAACAAGGUACC